CCUACGGGGGCUGCAGUGGGGAAUAUUGGACAAUGGGCGAAAGCCUGAUCCAGCCAUGCCGCGUGUGUGAAGAAGGCCUUCGGGUUGUAAAGCACUUUCAGUGUGGAAGAAAGCCUUGGGGCUAAUACCCUCGAGGAAGGACAUCACCCACAGAAGAAGCACCGGCUAACUCCGUGCCAGCAGCCGCGGUAAUACGGAGGGUGCGAGCGUUAAUCGGAAUUACUGGGCGUAAAGCGCGCGUAGGCGGUCUGAUAAGCCGGUUGUGAAAGCCCCGGGCUCAACCUGGGAACGGCAUCCGGAACUGGCAGGCUAGAGUGCAGGAGAGGAAGGUAGAAUUCCCGGUGUAGCGGUGAAAUGCGUAGAGAUCGGGAGGAAUACCAGUGGCGAAGGCGGCCUUCUGGACUGACACUGACGCUGAGGUGCGAAAGCGUGGGUAGCAAACAGGAUUAGAUACCCGUGUAGUC
rnacentral:rRNA from 1 species